CACAGUCUUGACCCGAGGAGGAGAAUCACACUCAACCUACGAUGGGCGUGAUCAACAUGAUCUCAGCAGGAUCGCGACUCUGGGGCGUAAACGACUUCGAAAGCAUCUUAAAACACCAGCGAGCUGACAAUGACAUCGUCUUUACUGAAGCAGAUCUAUGAGGAGUCCAAACUUCCCACAAUAAUGAUGUAGUUGUACCAAUGAUGAUAGCCAACUACGAUGUGAAACGAUAUCUAGUUGAUAAUGAAAAUUUCACUGAUGUGAU
rnacentral:lncRNA from 1 species